rnacentral:rRNA from 1 species
UGCCGCGUGCAGGAUGACGGUCCUAUGGAUUGUAAACUGCUUUUAUACAGGAAGAAACACUACUUCGUGAAGUAGCUUGACGGUACUGUAAGAAUAAGGAUCGGCUAACUCCGUGCCAGCAGCCGCGGUAAUACGGAGGAUCCAAGCGUUAUCCGGAAUCAUUGGGUUUAAAGGGUCCGUAGGCGGUUUAGUAAGUCAGUGGUGAAAGCCCAUCGCUCAACGGUGGAACGGCCAUUGAUACUGCUAAACUUGAAUUAUUAGGAAGUAACUAGAAUAUGUAGUGUAGCGGUGAAAUGCUUAGAGAUUACAUGGAAUACCAAUUGCGAAGGCAGGUUACUACUAAUUGAUUGACGCUGAUGGACGAAAGCGUGGGUAGCGAACAGGAUUAGAUACCCUGGUAGUCCACGCCGUAAACGAUGGAUACUAGCUGUUGGGAGCAAUCUCAGUGGCUAAGCGAAAGUGAUAA